rnacentral:rRNA from 1 species
UGCAGGGAUGCAAACUGCUCUGAACAUGCUCCAUCUUGUCUGAACUUGAAAGCUAAGCAGUGUCAGGCUGACUUCAUAUUUGGCUAGGAGGUUCUGGGAGUACCAAGCACCACAGGAA